rnacentral:rRNA from 1 species
ACUCAAAUGAAUUGACGGGGGCCCGCACAAGCAGCGGAGCAUGUGGUUUAAUUCGAAGCAACGCGAAGAACCUUACCUAGACUUGACAUCUCCUGAAUUACCCGUAAUUGGGGAAGCCUUUCGGGGCAGGAAGACAGGUGGUGCAUGGUUGUCGUCAGCUCGUGUCGUGAGAUGUUGGGUUAAGUCCCGCAACGAGCGCAACCCUUAUCGUUAGUUGCUACCAUUAAGUUGAGCACUCUAGCGAGACUGCCGCGGUUAACGUGGAGGAAGGUGGGGAUGACGUCAAAUCAUCAUGCCCCUUAUGUCUAGGGCUACACACGUGCUACAAUGGUGAGUACAAAGAGAUGCAAGACCGCGAGGUGGAGCCAAACUCAAAAACUCAUCUCAGUUCGGAUUGUAGGCUGAAACUCGCCUACAUGAAGCUGGAGUUGCUAGUAAUCGCGAAUCAUAAUGUCGCGGUGAAUACGUUCCCGGGCCUUGUACACACCGCCCGU